rnacentral:tRNA from 1 species
GCCAGGGUAGCUCAGCGGUAGAGCAGCAGACUCAUAAGCUGUUGGUCGGGAGUUCGAAUCUCCCCCCUGGCACCA